rnacentral:lncRNA from 1 species
CUAAUGAAAAAUUACCAUAAAUUUACUAAAAAUUUUGAAUGUACCGAUUGCACCAUUGCACCGUAAAUCUACUCUAAAAUAUAUAUCAAAAAUAAAAUUUUGAUGGCAUAAUAAAUUAUUCAAAUAUUUUUAUUAUAUCAUAUCUUAUUAUACAAAAUUAAUCACCAAAUGCUCAAUCUCUACAUAUUUAACCAUUUAAUAAUAUUUUACAAUAGCUAACUCUUUGUGGUAGGUCUUUUCUUUUUUAUAACUAUUUGAAUAAACAGAACAAAAUAAAUAAAUAGUAUUUCAAAUUAAAUAACUAUCCGCAGUAUCACGCAGGUCACUUAACUAGUAGUAUAUAAUGAAUCGCCAGUGACGUUGGCGACGUGGCAGAGAAUGGACCCGAUAUAUUUUUUUUUUUUCUUCACCAAUUUAGACAAGAAAGAUUGAGCUUUUUUUAAAAUUCAGUCUAAUUCUUCUCUCUCAUUACAAAAAUAUAUAAUCUUUUACUUGUAAAUUUUAAAUUAUUUAGAUUGUAUAUAUAUUAAAUAUAAAUUUUAAUUUUAUAAUAUUGAUCAUUUAGAUAUAAAUUGUACAAUAAAAAACAAAAAUAAAAUUUGAGUUUAAGUUAAUUAUUUAUUUUAAGAAAUUUAGUUGUGAGAAUUAUAUAAAGUAUACGAAAUAAAUCUGUAAGCUAAACGGCACAUUCAAAUUUUGAAGUCAAAGCAUUAUUAACCGGCUCAAAUCUAACAUAUAGAAUAAUUGGAUAGUAAAAACGAAAUUUUGAAAGGUUUGAUAGAUGAUUCAAAAUGGUUCGUAGUUCAGACAAAUUCUAUAUGAUUUUAUUUUUAUUUUAAUAUCAAACUUUAAUAUCAUAUUUAUAGUCAGAUGAGCAAUAAGUUUCACAUUUAAAAUCUUUUGGAAUGCCCAAAAUAUAAUUGGUCGACUUUUAAUUUUAACAAUUAGGCAUCCUAAAAUUUGUUAGAUAGUUUAACAAAUUCUUUUCUCAAGUGAAAUUACUAAUUAAACAAAAUUGAUCCAUGCUCAACUUUGUCUUCAUUUAGAAUAAUAAUGCGAUCUUCAAAUUAUAAGACCCGUGACACUAUAGUUCUCGAAUUUUUAAGGCAUUACAUUUUCUUACUUAAAGUAUGAGAUACUUCUUAUACUUUUACUGCAGUAACUACUGCUUAUUCUUCAAUUUCUUUUAUUUGUAUUUUUCUUUAUUUUUUGACUUUUUGAUUUUUUUAUUUUUUUAACUAAAAUUUUUUUUUUGUUUCUACAGAAUUAAUCCGCCGCAAUGCGCGGUUGAGAGACAUAUUAUCUCACUGAAGGUGCCGACUCAAAUUUGUGAGCAUGUUUUUGUAGGUAAACAUGCGUGUAGGCACCUCAACAAUACUCUAUUUUGAAACGCAACCCAUGAUUUUUAAAUAAUAUUACUUUGAUUAUUAAUACAUAAUAAAGUUUAAAAUUAUGCGGAUUAAAAACUCGCUAGAGCUGUAUAAUUUGACCNAUAAAAUUACAGUCGUAUAAUAAAUUAUUUAAAUAUUUUAUUAUAUUAUAUUUUAUUAUAUUAUAUUUUAUUUUAUUGUAUUAGUUAUCAAAUGUCCCAUCAACCAUAUAAUAUUCUGUAUAAUAUAUAAAAAAUUUGUACGCACUAAGUAUAAGCAAAUAUUUAUGCCACAAUAGUGUCUGGCCUUCAUCACCCUGAGUGGUUACUGCUGCUUCACCUUUAACUGUACUUCACUCAUCAAAAUUACCAACUCCAAUCCUAAUGAAGUCAUUCCUGCGGAAGCCAAUGAACAACAACGAUUACUUAGGAUCAGCUUGCGAUUUUCUCCUUUCUUUUGGAAGUGACAAAACUGUACCAAUUAAGUCAUUAACUAAUGAAAAAUUACCAUAAAUUUACUAAAAAUUUUGAAUGUACCGAUUGCACCAUUGCACCGUAAAUCUACUCUAAAAUAUAUAUCAAAAAUAAAAUUUUGAUGGCAUAAUAAAUUAUUCAAAUAUUUUUAUUAUAUCAUAUCUUAUUAUACAAAAUUAAUCACCAAAUGCUCAAUCUCUACAUAUUUAACCAUUUAAUAAUAUUUUACAAUAGCUAACUCUUUGUGGUAGGUCUUUUCUUUUUUAUAACUAUUUGAAUAAACAGAACAAAAUAAAUAAAUAGUAUUUCAAAUUAAAUAACUAUCCGCAGUAUCACGCAGGUCACUUAACUAGUAGUAUAUAAUGAAUCGCCAGUGACGUUGGCGACGUGGCAGAGAAGGGACCCGAUAUAUAUAUUUUUUUU